rnacentral:lncRNA from 1 species
AGAGGGCUGCCCCUCGGCCGGUGACCGAGUUAAGCACCGAGCUGUAAAUCGCUUGAGACCUGUAUUUGGUUGUUUUGUUGGUUUUGCCAAGUAAGGUCACUUGAGGAUUUCUUGGCUCGAGGUCCCAGGUUGCGCAGACUCUGACUGCAUCGAGUUGAGAAUUUUGGUCAGAAUGUUAAAGUGGAAACCUACCCCAGGCUGUCAUGACUUUUGCAUUCUGGUAACCAACUGAUCCUACCCGGACCCAUGAUGCAUAACUCAGCUGGUCCUGUGGCGCACACCCAGAGGCCGACUCAAUGCAUGAAGACUGUUUUCCACACCCCUAUGAUUUCAUCCCCAACCAAGCAGCAGCAUCCAUUCCCUAGCCCCCUGCCCACCAAAUUAUCCAUAAAAACUCUGGCUUCUGAGUUCUCAGCAAAACUGAUUUUAGUAAUAACUCCAGUUCUUCCACUUGGCUGGCCUUAGUUAAUUAAACUUAUUCUUUACUAUAGUACCGUGUUCCCAGUGAAUUGGUUUUGUCUGUGUAGCAGGCAGGACAACCCAUCAGGCAAUCACACAGUUACUCUGCAGUGCUUCUUUUUAUUUUGCUUUUCAAACAAAUUUCAAAUAUUAUUAGAUUGAAAUAAACUAUACAAAUAGCUUUUCCUCACAAAAAAAAAAAAAAAA